rnacentral:snRNA from 1 species
GUGCUCGCUUUGGCAGCACAUAUACUAAAAUUGGAAUGACACAGAGAAGAUUACCAUGGCCCCUGUGCAAGGAUGACACGCAAAUUCGUGAAGUGUUCCAUAUUUAA